rnacentral:misc_RNA from 1 species
GCGACUCCCCGCCUUUUCACCAAGCAGCCGGACGCAAAAGGUGGCGCGCAACCGGCCCCCGCCAUCUAACCCCCACCAUUUUCAACCAAGCCACCAACAUCUUCAAAAAUAAAGCCGCAUCCCCUAGAUCUUCUAUUUUCGCCGCGACCCCAACCUGGGCCUCCCACUCGCAAAAAAAACUCUCAAGAAAACCCCCGCCGCACCCACAGAGCCCCUUCAAGGCGCCGAGCAAACAGCAUCCGCGCCACGACGCCAUGCGAUGAAUGCCAACUCUCCGAUAAAAAUAUGGUGUCUUCUGUUUCUUUGCGGCUUGGGUGUGUGCUCUUGCGCCGGUGGGGUGGGGUGGGGGCGGUUUCGUGGACCCCCCGCCUUCGCGAAAAAGCCGCCUCGGGGAACCAGGCGAACCAACCCCCACCCACCCCCACGAAACCGCACCGUGGCCCACCCACAACUUUUUCGAAAAAGAAACACUGCUGCGCUCUUCCUGGAAUUUCGGGGCCCCCUUGGCUGUGCUUCUUUAUGGCCAACCGCGAAAAACCGCAGCCCCACAGGGCGGCCCUUUCCGGGAACCACACGCCCUUUUGGCCAAGCAAGCCGGACGCGUUUGCAUGCGUUGGCCAAAAACGUGGCCCAUUCAGGCUUUCAAAGAGCUGCGCUGUCUUUUUUCUUCCAUGAUGCCUCGGUAGUUUCUGCUGUGCCGCCUUUUGCCUUUGGGGUGCCGGUCGCGGUUUUUUCUCUUUUCAUUCCUAGCGGUUGGCAAAACCCACCGCCAAAAAAAAAGGCAAUUUCUCGAUUUUAAGAAAGAGGUGGGGCCCGCCCUUUGGCGUCUUUGGUGCCCCCGCGCGCCGCCGCUGGGACAUCUUGCGCCGCGUAAUUGUUGAAGCGCAGGGGCGGCGGCAGGCCCCCGUCUGCGUCCCGCGGCUUUUCUGGGAAUGCAGGGGUUUUGGGAAGGCGGCGGCCGGAGGUGGUGCCGCCGCCCUCGGCCCUCCAUAUCGCCGCCUUUUGUCGCCCCGCAUUCAAACCCCCUUUAAGCAAAUUUCAAAGCAAGCACAAAACCCGAAUGCUGUAGGCGCGCCCCGCCAUUUUCACGCCGUCACCUCGCAAGGUCGAAGGCCGCUACCUAGUGUAAACGCCGCCUUUGCCUUAAAAAAAAGUGCUUUUGCCCAAGCAUAAGGCCAUUCGCCCGUUUUCUGCCGGCCGUCACCGGCGCGCGUUUUAACGCAAACGCAGGGCCUUUGUUUUACGGCAGCUGCAAAGACAAAGCAUACCGCGUGGGCAGUUUGUCCCCGACUGGCUUGGCCCUUCGCAAGCCAGCUGUGGUUUUUCGCUUUUUGUGACCCCCGGCGCCGACGGCAGCCAUAUCUUUUUACCGACAACUGGGGCAGCCAAAGUGCUUUUUUUACAUUAAGCGCUUCCAAAAAACAGAAACGGGGAUGACUUCGCGCCGCUUAAAAAAGCGCCUGCUCCCCCCCCCAAAGCGCUUAGUAAGAGCCACGUCAGAUUUAGUAAAUUCACGUGCGUCCUUUUAAAAGCAGAAAGGCAAGGCGCCCGACGUACGGGCAGGCGGCUUCCAAAUACACAAAAAAAAGGCAGUAAUGACUUCCGCAAAAAGCCGCAACGGGCAUAUUUGCCACGCUCGGCGCCAGCGCCUUUGUCUUCUACAGGUUGUUCCUUCCUAAGACGCCCUGGUUAAAAAAGGCGCUAGCUUAUUGUUCCCCCUAGAUUCGUCUCACCAACAUCAUCAUUUCACAAUCUCCAAAAAAACGGUGUUCGGCUACUUAUGUGGCGGCGCCCUGGCCAUCUGUACGACUUCACCUGAG